UACGUAGGGUGCGAGCGUUAAUCGGAAUUACUGGGCGUAAAGCGUGCGCAGGCGGUUUGUUAAGUCCGUUGUGAAAUCCCCGAGCUCAACUUGGGGCUUGCAGUGGAUACUGGCAAGCUGGAGUAUGGUAGAGGAAGGUGGAAUUCCCGGUGUAGCAGUGAAAUGCGUAGAGAUCGGGAGGAACACCAGUGGCGAAGGCGGCCGCCUGGACCAAUACUGACGCUCAUGCACGAAAGCGUGGGGAGCAAACAGG
rnacentral:rRNA from 1 species